UACGGGGGGGGGCAAGCGUUGUUCGGAAUUACUGGGCGUAAAGGGCUCGUAGGUGGCCAACUAAGUCAGACGUGAAAUCCCUCGGCUUAACCGGGGAACUGCGUCUGAUACUGGAUGGCUUGAGUUCGGGAGAGGGAUGCGGAAUUCCAGGUGUAGCGGUGAAAUGCGUAGAUAUCUGGAGGAACACCGGUGGCGAAAGCGGCUCACUGGACCACAACUGACGCUGAGGCACGAAAGCUAGGGGAGCAAACAGG
rnacentral:rRNA from 1 species